CCCGCCCAGCGGGAGCCAGAACGGCACAGCACUGCCGGCUGCUUGCUCCCGUGCCCACUUGAGGACUCCAAGGGGCUGCUCGACGCCCUGUAAGUCCAGGUCCACUUCUAAGCCCUGGAAGCUGCCUGCAGAACCAGUGCCCAGGGCCCACCUGACAGGGGCUAGCGGCUGCUUCCCCACCCACCACUGGAGCCUGAAGCUUCUAGCAUUCACCCCAAAAGUUCUCAAGCUACCUGGCUUACCGAGACUCAUGAAGGGCAGUUCCGUGUGGACACUGAAGCCAGGGACAAUCAGGAAACGACCAGGCAGCACCCCAAGACUGGGAGAAGUUGCCUGGCCUGCCAGUCUGCAGCCCACAGGGAGCCGCGCGGAAGACACGGAGUGCAAAAGAGAACUUUACACCGCUGGACCGGCCUUGCCACGCCUCAAGAAAUACCAAGAGAGUUUCCUGAAAGGGAUCUAAAGAGCCUCGGAAGAGCCCCGUGUCUUCCUGUCCCCUGGCAGCCAGGGGAGGAGAAGAGGAAGUGAUGAACCCUAGAUGCUGACUCACUACAGCCCUCCUCCAGGUGACGUUUCGAGUCCCCUACUGAGUGGGAUGCAGAGGGAGCCCCCAACAACGGGGCAGAAACUUCCCGAAAGGCUGGCUGACCGAGUCAUGGGAAGGAGACAAAGUCUCCUGGCUGACAGCGGCUGAGGUUCCAGGUGCUGGUUCAAGACCCGGCUGCUCCACUUCCAGUUCAACUCUCUGCUAUGGCCUGGGAAAGCAGUAUAAGAUGGCCCAAGUGCUUGGGCCCCUGCACCCAUGUGGGAGACCUGGAAGAAG